AUCCAAAGUGUUGAGUUCGUGGCAGACAGCCCAUGACUGCCAUGGUAAUUAAACUUUGGAAAAUUAAAAGUGGAUGCUUGUUUUGGGGUUUCCCUUCUUGAUGUAAGUUCAAAGGGAUUCAUGUCAGAUAAACAAGCAUCCUACACUG